ACUAAUAUAUCUUAUGUGGAAGAAGCAACUCAAGCCUGUAUCUAGGCCCUUCUAUGUCAUUCUUACUCGCUGCUUACUUAAAAAGACUAAUAUAAGAUAUUUCCUGACUAUAUGAAUCUAAGCUAUUCUCUCUUGCCUGUGAAGGAGUGAAAUUUCAGAGAAAUUAAGAAAAAAAAAAAUAUUUUAUGUAAAGCCAUAGGAGGAAAUGCAAGCAGAUUUGAGUAUCCCUAGGCAGCAUUACAAACUCAGAUUUUAGAUUCCUUGCUACCUAGUGGCAUCCCUUGCUCUACUUAAUGCGGAGGUUACCCUGGGGACAGGUAGUUAUUGAAUUAGGGAUCCUCAGAGGCCAACACCCUGGACAAGCUGCAACCUAGAGCAAAGACACAGCUUGUUGCUGCAACUCAGGAUGCUCGAGAGAAGAGACCUAGAAACAAGUUUUAGACUCCAAAGAGGGUCUCAGGCUUUUCCAGGCAAGCAGGUCCCAGCUAUCCAAAAAGAAUCCUGCUUCUAAGGAGUGAAUGGCAAAGAAAAUAUGACAGAAAGGAAGGGCUGGGGGUGUUUGUUCUCAACUUUAAAUCUCCAAAGAAAUUGCCAAGGAACUGCCAAUGGACUUUUUGGAUUUGAAGCAUUCUUCUAAGAUAAAAGAAUGUGAUGGAGAGGUGAAAUGACAGCUACGGAGGGCAUACAAAGGAUGCUCCCCUGGAAUUUCAAGGAUAGAAACUAUUCCCAUGGAAGAUGCUCCCCAUUGAUAACUUUACAUUAGCACUGAUCAGCCAUUCAGUUGGAUAGUCGCAAACAGCUCUUCAGGAACUGUUGGAGGAUUUUGUUCAUUUUUGAAGCCUAUCCAAAGAUUUGCUGUGAACCACACUGAGCUAAUGUCAGCAAAUAAAGAAGCGGUGGUUUUAGACUUGAGCAUCUAAAUUCUCAUUAUUCCACAGACAGGAAUUUCCUGAGUGGAGCCUGUUUGGUUACCUCUGGGAAAAAGCUGCCAGUCAGGGUUGUGACAGGAGUCAACAAGGGAGCAGAAAGUUCAGCUCUUUGGGAAGAUGGUUUCCUGCAGCGUCACUUCAGUAUCCACCUUAUUUUAAUUUCCAUUCAUAAAUGCAGCCGUGAUGGAAAUAUGAGAGAGAGAUGGCCCUGCGGUGAUGCAGACAGAACGUGGUAAGGGCAAAUAGCUCCAAGGCACCAAGAGAGGAAGUCUAUAGGGCAAAAUUUCUGUGUUAAUUCACCGUGGAGCCUAAGAUAAAGGAAAAAAAAAAGGCGGCGGUGGGGGUAAAACUGGAAAAUUCAAACGAGUUUAUCAAUUUUGAGGAAUGCCCAACUUACACGGUCAAAACAAACAACAAGGAAUAAAAGCUACAAGAUAGUGAAUUUUAAAGCUUAAUUUUUUGUUUAUGAUGUGGGUUUGGGAUUCAUUUGAACAAGCCUUUUUUGCUAGAUCUACUGCAUUGAACAUAUGACUGAAAUACAUGUGUACUCUCUAAUAUGCUGCUUCUCUCAAAACAGUAAUUUAAGAUGAAUCUCAUUAAAAACCCCUUUCUGAACAGAUAAACAAAGUGGUAAUGUAUUUUUAAUGAGGUGAGGUGAUUUCUUGCUGUGCGAAUGUGCAGAGACCUGUAAAACUGCAGUUUUCUUUCCACCAUGUGAGGAUAAUCAUGAGUGUUUAUCAAUGCAUCAUUGUCCUAUUUACUGGUGCGACUGACCUAGUGAGCUACAUAUAAGAACUAGGGACUCAUCUGCCAAUAAAAAGAUGGCAGCCAUCAGAACUGGGGAGGAUUUCCUGAGGUUUCACCAUGCUCUGAAUAGUUUGUCAUGUAGAUUCCCACCUGGAAAUUCAAGAUGGUGGAAGAU